rnacentral:rRNA from 1 species
GACGAACCGUGCGAACGUUGUUCGGAAUCACUGGGCUUAAAGGGCGCGUAGGCGGGUCGGCAAGUCCGGGGUGAAAAGCCCCCAGCUCAACUGGGGAAGGGCCUUGGAAACUGCCGGUCUCGAGGGAGGUAGGGCCGUGUGGAACUUCGGGUGGAGGCGGUGAAAUGCGUUGAUAUCCGGAAGGAACGCCGGUGGCGAAAGCGAACGGGCUGGACUCGUCUUCU